AAGCAAUGAUGUGUUGCUUAUCAUUAAAAAAAUAAUAAAAGCUUAGCAGCUUGCUACAAUCUCAAACGAAAUUCAUAGAUGAGGAGAGAAAAAAAACUAGAUCAGCCUAAUAAAUCCUUGCUGCAAUCUCAAAUGAAAUCCGAAAAUAUAUAAAUUAAUUUGUUGUGGGUUACAGAUUUGUUGUGAGAUCUAUAGAAAUGGAGGAAGAGAAUAAUAAAUCCAAAAAAUAGAUUUAUAAAUGUCUAAAAAAAAAUAGCAGAUCUAUGGAGAAAGAGAAUCAUAUAUCUAGAUUUGUUGUGAGUUAUCAAUCAAAGGGGAGUUUGAGAGUGUUUUGUUUUAUGGUGAGAUUUUGAGAAAUUGAUUAAUAGAGU
rnacentral:lncRNA from 1 species